rnacentral:rRNA from 1 species
AUACGUAGGGAGCGAGCGUUGUCCGGAAUUACUGGGUGUAAAGGGAGCGUAGGCGGGAGUGCAAGUCAGAUGUGAAAUACAUGGGCUCAACCCAUGGGCUGCAUUUGAAACUGCAUUUCUUGAGUGAAGUAGAGGUAAGCGGAAUUCCUGGUGUAGCGGUGAAAUGCGUAGAUAUCAGGAGGAACACCGGUGGCGAAGGCGGCUUACUGGGCCUUUACUGACGCUGAGGCUCGAAAGCGUGGGGAGCAAACAGGAUUAGAUACCCUGGUAGUCCACGCUGUAAACGAUGAUUACUAUGUGUGGGGGGACUGACCCCUUCCGUGCCGCAGUUAACACAAUAAGUAAUCCACCUGGGGAGUACGGCCGCAAGGUUGAAACUCAAAUGAAUUGACGGGU